CAGUCGCCGCGGUAAUACGUAGGGUGCGAGCGUUGUCCGGAAUUACUGGGCGUAAAGGGCUCGUAGGUGGUUUGUCGCGUCGUCUGUGAAAUUCCGGGGCUUAACUCCGGGCGUGCAGGCGAUACGGGCAUAACUUGAGUACUGUAGGGGUAACUGGAAUUCCUGGUGUAGCGGUGAAAUGCGCAGAUAUCAGGAGGAACACCGAUGGCGAAGGCAGGUUACUGGGCAGUUACUGACGCUGAGGAGCGAAAGCAUGGGUAGCAAACAGGAUUAGAUACCCCGGUAGUCCCUGUCUCUUAUA
rnacentral:rRNA from 1 species